UAGGGGGCAAGCGUUAUCCGGAUUUACUGGGCGUAAAGGGAGCGUAGACGGUAAGGCAAGUCUGAAGUGAAAGGCGGGGGCUCAACCCCCGGACUGCUUUGGAAACUGCGGUACUGGAGUGCAGGAGAGGUAAGUGGAAUUCCUAGUGUAGCGGUGAAAUGCGUAGAUAUUAGGAGGAACACCAGUGGCGAAGGCGGCUUACUGGACUGUAACUGACGUGGAGGCUCGAAAGCGUGGGGAGCAAA
rnacentral:rRNA from 1 species